ACUUCUGCAGCCAUCAACACUUUGCUGGUACAAAGAAUGUGACCUCUGAAGAAGCUGGCAGCCCUUGCAACCAAGUGAGCUAGUAGAGUGCACCCGGCUUUCCUGUGUCUUCUGGGGUGUUGCUGGGGCUCUGCUGUUUCGUCUGGUCCACUAAUGGGACUAUCAUCUGAGUGUUUUACGGAUUUGUAUUUGUGGCACUACUGGGCAUGGCUCCAUUUGGUCUCAGACACCCAUGGAGCUGUUUUGAACAGAGGAGAGAAAUUCAGGAUUCUACUCAGCCCCUUAACUGGUGUUUGUUUGGAAGCUCACCAUUUGUUUAUCCAACUCUCCUAAAUCAAUCUUCAAUUCAUCUUGCUCAUGGUGUUCCCCAUGUUAUCAUCAUUUGUGCUAAUCUGAGGAUUUGGUGAUGCUGCAUUUCCUGUGAUAUUCCUACGUUGCUCCUGCGAGUUUAUAUUUUCAACCUUCUGAAACCUCCCGUGCAAGAUUUGAUGCUGAUGUUGAUGACAUCACCCAAAAACAUUGACAGGAGGUUUGCAGACCAAGUUUAUACAGCAACUCUUGGACCACUGACUCUAAAACGCACAGAAAAAUGCAAUUGAUCCAGAACAGCCCAAGGAAUGUUAAAUAUUUUUUACAGAAACACAAAUGACAUUUAUAGAAGUAUGUAUGUGCUGUGCAUAGUGAUGUUUUUUCCAAAAGGUACAACAUGAGAAGGGGAAUAAUAUUAAUUUUAUAGUGGAGAAAACUGAGCUAAACUGCCUCAUCCGUGUGAUCAAAUAACAUUAACCAUGAUAAAGCAGCUGGGCACAGUGGCUCACACCUGUAAUUCCAGCACUUGGGAGCCUGAGGUGAGAGGAUCGCUUAGGGCCAGGACUUAGAGACCAGCCUGAGCAAUGUCGUGAGACUCUGCCUCUACAAAAGUACAAGUAAAAUUAAAUCACCCAGAUGUGGUGGCACAUGCCUGUAGUCCCAUCUACUCAAGAGGAUGAGGUGGAGGAUCAUUCAAGCCCAGGAGUUCGAGGCUGCAGCGAGCUUUGUUCAUGCCACUGCACUCCGGCCUGAGCAACAGAGUGAGACCCUGUCUCAAAAAAAAAAAAAAAAAAAAAAAAAACUGAUACAGCAUGUUGACACUAUGUACUCUUGUUAUAAUAUCAUGAGAAUAAAAGUUUCCCUCUGUGGGUUUCCUCUGCUAAAUCCACAACAGCCAUCCAAUCAUUAAGAAAACACCAGAGACAUCCCAAAGGAAGGAUUUCAAUGAUAUCAGAAAUAAGGAAAAUCUGAGAAACUGGCACACGAUACCUAAAUGUGAUGUGGUGUCCUGGGUGGAAUCCUGGAACAGAAUAUGGACAUUAGGUGAGAACAGAACAUCUGAUUAAUUGUGAAUGUUGCUGAAUGAUAAUGUAUAAUAUUGGUUCAUCAAUUGCAACAAAUGUCUCAAAUGAAUGUAAGAAUUUAUAAAAGGGAAAUUAUGUGUUGAAUAUAUAUAAACUCUCUGUAUGUACUUCUAACUAUUCUGUAAAUCCAAGCUAUUCUAACACAGACUUAAAAAAUAAAUAAAAUAUAUAUAUUUUAAAAAUUACACUAUUGAGCUUACUAAGCAGAACACUGUCGAUCUCGUAGCGUCCCAGGUGCUCACCUCCCCAUUCCCACGCUUUUUGUUACCCUGGUGAACAUUACCAUUAUUUUUAAUUUUCCUUUUCCCAUUCGCAAACUUUUCUUUCUUAGUUUUGGUCUCUAAAUUUGUAUUUGUUAAUAAUGUCCUGUUUGCUGUUUCUUCUCUUCACAAAUAGAUAAUUACAUGUCUCUCUCUAUAUUGCUCAGUAAAAUUAUGAGAAACAUUCAGAGAAAUCUGGAUUUUGAUACAUUUUACAAACUAUGUGACCUGUUUUCUCACAAAGUGAGGACUGAGAACCUGUCCCAGAUUAAGCAAGACCUGACGUUGGCAGGUGAACUCUCAGAUGGUGCACAAUGAUCCUCAGAGCUUAAUUAGAAUAUCUAAUCCUUUCCUUGUGACUUUGGGGAGAAACUGAAACUUGCUUUGAUAUAUCAGAAGACUACAACCUGAUAGGAUGUCACUUGGGUAAUCAUGUUACCUAAGAUUAUGAUACCUGUCUUGCUGCAAGCUCUCUGUCAUGGUGGCUUUGAUGACACAUUCUGCCAUGGGAGAGAAGCCAACAUGGGAAAUAACUGCAUGCAGCCUCUGGCCACAGACAGCAAAAAACUGAGGCUCCUCAUCCAGUGUCCUCCCCUAGAGGUUGCAAUUUAUAUUUACUACUAAUCUAAGCUCCUGUCAUAUAAAAGUAUACAGCCUCAGAAGUAGUGUAACCAUCUUAUAAAAGAAUAGUUCUAACUAUUUCUUCCUUUUUCCUGUAUUUUUUCUUUUCUCCCUUUUUUCCUUUCAUUUUACUUAUAUGUAUAUAUAUACACACAUAUCUAUAUAUAUCUUAUACUUAGGAAAAUAUAAUUAAAUUAAU
rnacentral:lncRNA from 10 species